UGCUUCCCAUUUAUUCCAUCUUUUUGUUUCGUUCCCUUCCAGAUAACUCUCGCCUCUUUUCUUUCUCUCAUCUUUCCCCAAUCUCUCUCUCUCUCUCUUUCACAUCUGCGAUCCAUACCGAGGAAACGCCGACACCAUCUAAUCAUUCUUUCGAUAGCCCUUCUCUCGUUCAGAUCAGAAAGGAAGAGCAGGAUGGCUUCAAGAACCGCCUCGAAGGACAUCAUCACCCUCAGGGGCUCCGCAGCCAUCGUCAGCGAGUUCUUUGGUACUUCCGUUACCCAUUCCCCAUUUCUUCUUCUCCCUUUCCAUUCGUAUCUUACAAUUUCUUGGAAUUUUUACUGAUUUAUGCUUGUCUUUGGGUCUUUACCUCCAGGUUAUGCAGCAAAUAGGUAAGAAAUUGAAAUACCGAAAGAAAGAUUUGAUCUUUUUUCAAUUUUUCUUGUGUUGGUUUCCAUGGUUUUUCUCUUUUAUAUUGGAUCUUGAAGACACUUUUCUUGACAUGGGAAAGAGAUUUAAUGCAGCAUUCUUUACAAUCGAGGUGUCUACCCGGAGGAAAGUUUCACCAAGGUGAAGAAAUAUGGCCUGUCGAUGCUAUUGACUCAGGAUGAAGGCGUGAAAUCGUUCAUUGCUAACCUAACUUCCCAAUUGUCAGGUAGCUGUUCUCUUCUUUAGCCUAUUAGAUUUUUCCUUCUUUUGUUUUUUGUUUUUUUUCUUUUGGGGUAUUCAAUCUGAUAUUGAUGAUAUUUCUCUCUUUAAUCGAGAAGAAUGGUUGGAAGCUGGGAAACUACAGAGGGUUGUACUUGUGAUCAUGAGUAAGGCCACCUUGGAGGUCCUUGAGAGAUGGAAUUUCAACAUAGAGACCGAUGCUGAGGUUGUCGAAAAGGGGUAAGUUUUCUCUCCAUAUGAAUCCUAUGUUCCUUUUAAGCACUAAAAAUUAAACAUGGAGGAGUUCUCUCUCUUUUAUAAAUUUACGUUCUUCUGAUUAUUUGGCUUGCAAUGAUCUAUUUCAGGGUCAGCAGGGAAAAGAGUGACAAAGAAAUAAUGAGGGAGAUUCAGGCGAUCAUGCGUCAGAUUGCCUCCUCCAUUACUUAUUUGCCAUGUCUCGAUGAACCCUGUAAUUAUUAUGAUUUUUUUUCCUUACAUGCUUUUUGAUUUGAAUGCAAUCAGAUAUAGUCAAAAAUUAUAAUUUGUUAACUUCUUAUCUUUUCCAUGUCUUUGAAGUAUUCAUUCUGGUUCUUGUUAGUUCUGACUGUGCCCUUCAUUUAGGUGUGUUUGAUGUGUUAGCCUACACCGAUAAAGAUGUCGCCGUUCCAUUCGCCUGGAUUGAGAGUGAUGCCAAACUGAUCCAGAACCCCCAAAUGGUGAAGUUGCAUUCUUUUGAUACCAAGGUAGGAUCUUACUUGCCUCUUGAGAUUUUAAAGAUGAUCUUUGUGCUAGUUGUGAUUGGAUUGUGUUAUCAGCACUUCUAAUUAAUUUCUUUGGUUAAUGCAGAUACAUAAAGUGGAUACAUUGGUUUCGUACAAGAACGAUGACUGGGACGAGCAGUAGAACAUCUGCAUUAUGCUUUGUUUAGAUGUUACUCUUGUGAAUCGUUCAUUCACAUUGAGGCAUAGGAUUGUUACAUACGUUUUCCUUUGUUGAAGGUGUAACAUUUUGUGCUGAAAUGUGAAGAUGGUGGUGUCUUGUUAAGUUUAAACUUGUUAUGGACUGAAAUUCUAUUGGUAGGUUAAUGACUGAAAAAACUUCAUUAUUUAGAUAUGGCUACUGUGAACAUAUAUUGCAUUUGAUGAACUUUCAAAAAGAUAGAUACAAAAUGAUUUUUGUUUACAAGCUAGUUUGUCAAGGUGGAUCCAACCUCCUUCAACCAUAAUACAANNNNNNNNNNNNNNNNNNNNNNNNNNNNNNNNNNNNNNNNNNNNNNNNNNNNNNNNNNNNNNNNNNNNNNNNNNNNNNNNNNNNNNNNNNNNNNNNNNNNNNNNNNNNNNNNNNNNNNNNNNNNNNNNNNNNNNNNNNNNNNNNNNNNNNNNNNNNNNNNNNNNNNNNNNNNNNNNNNNNNNNNNNNNNNNNNNNNNNNNNNNNNNNNNNNNNNNNNNNNNNNNNNNNNNNNNNNNNNNNNNNNNNNNNNNNNNNNNNNNNNNNNNNNNNNNNNNNNNNNNNNNNNNNNNNNNNNNNNNNNNNNNNNNNNNNNNNNNNNNNNNNNNNNNNNNNNNNNNNNNNNNNNNNNNNNNNNNNNNNNNNNNNNNNNNNNNNNNNNNNNNNNNNNNNNNNNNNNNNNNNNNNNNNNNNNNNNNNNNNNNNNNNNNNNNNNNNNNNNNNNNNNNNNNNNNNNNNNNNNNNNNNNNNNNNNNNNNNNNNNNNNNNNNNNNNNNNNNNNNNNNNNNNNNNNNNNNNNNNNNNNNNNNNNNNNNNNNNNNNNNNNNNNNNNNNNNNNNNNNNNNNNNNNNNNNNNNNNNNNNNNNNNNNNNNNNNNNNNNNNNNNNNNNNNNNNNNNNNNNNNNNNNNNNNNNNNNNNNNNNUUGCAAAAGGAAAAAAAUGGCGUUUUGUGACUAAGUUAAUAAUUGGGGUUCUCAUGGGUUCUUAGUUAACUAAGAAUGCAUAUGUAUAUGCGUGUGUAGAGAGAGAGAGAGUGAGCAAGCUUGAUCAGUGAUAUGAAUGCAUUCUUCUCUGGUUUUUAGAUCACGCAGCACCUUAAGUGCCCUCUAGAUCAUAAUAUUGGUGAAAUUGUUUAAGUUAAUGCAUGGAUGUAACAUAUGGCUUAUAAGGAAGACAAUAUGAUCAAGAGUGUGAACUAGUAGUAACUUAUGAUUCUUGAAUGUACUUGAGGAAUUUGAUGAACUACAACAUUGUUCGAGUUUGCGAACUAGUUGCAUCUUGGAAGCUCUCCUAAGAAGAGUUAGGAGGCUGAUAUCUGAGCCAAUAGUUCAUUUAUAUAAGGGGAAAAAAGUAGGAUUAUGUAAUAUUAUAUUGGAGGAUGUUUGGUUCACAGUCGAAAUCAGAAUCAUAAUUCAUUGAAGCAGGAAUUGGAAUGAUCAUGUGCCACACAUUUGUUUCAUGAUUAAAAUCAGAAUUAGAAUUGAAAUAGGAUGUAAACACUGGGUAAAAGCCUGAAUUAGAUUUUGGACAAUUGGAGCCUUCCCAUUUCCCCUAGAAUCUAAAUGGGAAUAGAACUCUCCUAACCAAAAAGUUGGAAUUGAGAUUACUCCUAUUUCUUGUUCUGGAACCCAACUCCCCCAAGCUAAACAUUCUCUGGGUGCAUCAGUCUCCUUCAGAUCUUCUACAUUCAUAAAAUCUAUUUCCAUUUCUUCUGUUAUCAAGGAAUUUGUCCAAACCGCUCUCACUCAAACAGUUGAUGUAAGGCAACGAUGGCAGAUCCACUCCAAACCAUCCAAGCCAUCCGGUCCAGGUGAUGAUACUGAAUCGAACCAGCGUGGAAUAAGUCAAGCCAGGAACUUGCCCGAAUGGAGCAAAACCGCCCGAUUCUUUUUGAUUCGGACCCAUUCCAGACCAUCCCUGUACCUCUAUUAACUUGUUUCUCAUCAACCAGAUGUUAACAAACUCGUUCCUUACUGGUGUGGCGCUUUAGGCAGAAAAAAGUAGACAUGCCAAGCUAUACCAAGCAGCUGCAUCAGUGAAAAGGAAAACUUAACCUUUUAAUGAUUCAAUUGCACCUUGACAAAAUGGAGAAGUGUAAUUACCAACUACAAACCCACUAAAACAACAGUUGCCCAGACAUGCUUGAGACCUUUUCAGUGAAGAGAGAAUCAUUUCGUGUAGAUUUAUCUACAAGGUUAAUAAUAGAGUCCUACUACAUCAUCUCCCGUGUGGAAAUGGUUCAUUGGACAUCAAACUGAAACAGAAAUUUUCAUGUUUGCAUUUUUAAUCUGAUGAUGUACAAGAAUGGAUAAUGUUGGUGUCACUUCACCAGGAACUUGAAGGAUGUUUGAUUUAAAACUACUAAGAUAUUCUUGAUAAUUUAGUGCAAUCCCAUAAUGGUCAAACAGCAUGAACAUUUUGUUCAUCCCUGAAGUAUAUAGUUGUCUAGUGCUUUUGAGUCAUCAUAUUUUGAGUGUUCCCUAAUAUACCAAGUAGUCUGAUUCCCAGAUACAAAGCUCCAGAGCUAUUCUCCAUAAUCAAGUGCACAACCCCAUAUUGGUCAAACAGCAUGAACAUUUUGCGAAUACCUGAAGUAUAUGGUUUACUGAUUCCAGUCAUAAUAUAUUUUUGGUGCUCCUUAAUCGCCCAACAGUCUGAUACCCUGAUAUGCAGCUCCAGGAUGAAGGUCAUCCAUGGUAUCAACGCUUCUAAAGCCACUUAACUCUCUUAGGCCCUUCCAGCCAUUGCGAUUAAGGAAAUCACGGAAAUCCUCUUGAGUGUAGAUCGUCUUUUCCUCAGUUCGAACUGGUAUGCGGUCAGUCUCAUCAUAUAUGCAAAUUUUUAUUGUUAUCCCUGAAUCAAUCAGAAAAAACAGGAUAUAAACAUCAGAAAGCUACCAAUUUAUGUUGAAACAAGAUAAAUCGUCAUCCCAAGAGUUUGCGUAAGAAGAAAUCAACUGGAGGAACAGUGUUUUUUCAAAAGACCAUGUAGAAAACGUAGAAUUCAUCAAAGAUUUUAAAAAGGCAUCCUGGAGAAAAUGCUCCAUACUGAAACUUUCACUUGCAAUCAUUCCCAUAAUUUGGACAAAUGUACCUUUGCCAUUGCAUUAAAUGGCCAAAAUCAAAUUUGAGAACAUGCAGCUGACUAACAGCUCUGCAUUAAUGAGAUGCAAGCAUCCCCAGGUGAUCAUGACUGCAGGAUACAUGAGUAAAGAUACCACCCAAAAAUAACCAUUUUUGACACUAUUGUACUGACACAAAUUUUACUAGAUGAGGGUACAUUGCUAUUUAUCAAUUGACCUUGCAGAGAUAAAUGCAUUGUAUUCGUGGCAUUUAAUGCAUUGGUAAGAAAACCAGGGUGCCCCUACACAUUCACAAUACCACUGUAGCAAAUAGCAAGCAUUUGUGUGUGGACGCACAUGCCCACGAACAUGCAUGCACCCAACUGCUCACAUAAAUGCACCUGCACACGUGUGAAUGUUUUGCUUGUUCCACCUAACUGAUUACUUAAAACAGAAGUAGAAACAAAUCGGUAAGUAGCAAUAACAUGCUACCCUUGUUGAACAGGUAGAACUAUUAGUACGUUGGUCAAACUAGAUGAUUUGAGUUCAAACUCUCAGCGGUGCAACUUUCAUCAUCUUGCCAUCCAUUCUUGUCUUCUCCAAAUUUGCCCACUUCUAUUUACUACCUGAGUGUGGAAGUCCUUGACAUCUUCAUCGUAAUCCUUGCAAGUCUGGCCUCAGUCCUCCCCCACCACCUUUAUCAACAAUGAUACUUAGCAAUCUAACCACUUCCUCCACCAACCGGGCAUCACAACAUCACUUUCUUCCACUGUAGGCAAUCAAAAUUGGGUACUGGGGACAAAGGCAUGAAGCAAUAAAUACUAAAUAAAAGAUAGCAUUAGAUGGAAAUAGCUGAGAGGAAGUCAAUCACAGGCUCAGCACAAACCCAAGAAUCUUGUGGUUAAGAAAAGAUGAGAAUAGAGUAGAUGAAUUGAGUACUGGUCACAGUGAUUUACAAGAGAUCAAGCGAUAAGGUUAAUACAGCUUGUCAAUGGUACAGACGUACAGUUUAAAUAUGGUAACACAAUGAACAUGGACUGAAGAUGAUUAGCAGUUAUGUCAACAAAGGAAGAUUGCAGAGAAAGGACUAGUAGCAGGUGCAAGAUUUAAAGUGGGUUCUCAAUCAAAUUUCUAUAUUUCGAAUGGAUCAUUGUGGAAGUAGAUGAACUCAAAUAAAAAACUGACAGAUCUGAUUGUGUUUGUAUAAAGAACUGCCCUAGAAUGCUAGCAGCAGGAAUUGAGUGUGCAUCUAUCAGCUCAAGCCACACAAUGUGCCAUUCACAUUGGGAAUCCAUACAUACAAUUGAUCAUGAUCUAUAACAGAUAAAAUACUUUGAAAUCAAAAAUCCGAUGAUUUGCAGAUUUCUUACAUAUACCUGGAGGCCACGAAGCUGAAAAGGGAACUUCUUUAAAGGGCUAGAUAUGACUAUUUGAAUCCAUUUUUACCUUAGGAGAUCAAGAUCAAAGAUAUUGAAUUCUUGGAUUACAGGUUCAACAAUGCAAAUUUAAAAAACAAAUUCUAAGCUGUUGCCAUCGAUGAUAUGAGUUAUGACCAUGUUAUUUUUCGAGAAGAUACCUCCAAAACAAAUGCUUACGGUCUUUUUGGGCAUUAAAUGUUCAGAUCAUGAUCAACAUUUUAAAUCCUCCAUAUGGAUCACCCACCUGCUAAAUUACAUUAAUAAGGUUUGGGCUUUGGUGUAGGGCAAUAAAUGGAGAAUGCUAUGGGAGGAGAAUGAGGAAGGACUGAGGAGAGAGAACAUCUAGAGAAGUGGAAGGAAAUGAAGGAAAUUCAGUGCUGCAUAAGUAAAAAUAUUGUGAUAUUAAUAUAACUCUCACAAUAUCAUGUGCAAACACUCCUAAAAGCUUUCAAAUCCAGAAGGCAUAAUUAACUCAGUUAUGUCUUCUAGUCAAAUGCACAAUGGGACAUCCAAAUCGAUGAUCCACACCAUUCAUCAUGAUCUGUCACAUCUCAAAUACCUAGAAAGGCAUAAAUGAGCUGAGCUUGAGCAAGCAGAUCAUGCUCAAGCUCAGCUUGCAAUCCAAGCUUCAGCUUGGCACAGUUCAAGACAAAGUUGAGUUGAAUACACCCUUCUUGAGCACAUGCUUUCAGCUAAUUCCACCAUUAUAUGUCACACUAACAGCUUAAAUGCAUCCUUCUUUAUAUAUUAUUUGAUAAAUAGACAUAAUAGAUACUAAAUUAUAUAUUUGGUUUUCUUAUUCAUAACAUUUUGACCUUAAUUAAUCAAACACAAUAAAGAUAAGCAUCAAGCCCAAUUCCUUUACUAUUUGAGUGAAUUUCCACUAAGCCGAUCCCGAGCCAACACAAUAUGCUCACAAAUUGCUUGCUUGUGUUACCAACUUAAAUGCCUAGAAAAUAAACUCAGAUUUUCUGAGGUGUGUUGCUCAUUUUUCACGUGAUACUAAAUGAACAAUUUUGUAGUAAUACAACAAAUGACUCCUUUUGAUAAAAGUUUAGGGCUACCCAAGCUAUUAUAAAUUUGGUUUACAGGCUUCCAGAGACAUCUAAAACACAAUGAAUAUCAUGGAUGAACAACUUCAUGGCUCACCAUGCAUUCAUGUUCAUGUGAUAACUAAUAGCUGUGCUCUUGGAACAUCAGGGAUUCCAUGUACACAUGCAUGCACACAAAUACGGUUUAGGCUUGUGCAAUGCUUCUCAGGACAAAAAAAUAUACAUAAAAGCUUAUCAAUAUUAAGAUAAAAAAUAGGGGAGCGUAUAAAAGUAGUUUAAGUACCAUAAUCAUGAAAAUAAUGAAGAAAAUAGAUGUAAUGAUCAGUUUCAGAAAAUAAUAAGUAUCCAUAGUUUUCCAUGUUUGACGAAAUGACUAUUCUUUUCUCAAGGAAGGCAACGGUGUCCUUUAUAUUAAUGUAUUUAAUAAUAUAUACUAUUGGAUAUUUUUGGGAAUACCAAAAUGGCUGCGGUCAUAUACUUCAAUAAGACAGGUGCCUUUUUCUUACAAAACUUACCAACUUUGGCAAGUUAAAUAAAGAUUUGGUAUUUAAUACAUUAAUAUACUAUACAUAUGUUAUUCUGUACCCAAUAAUGCAUUAAUGUAUAUAUUGUUAGAGAUGGUCAAUUUCUAAGUUUCCUAAUUAGGAGAGGAAGAGAUGGUAGGACCUACCAUCUGAUAAUAUAAUGUGCCUGCUUGCUGAGUGCAUGUUCAUAGAAAAUAUUUAUAUAUGUAAUGUACUUAUAGCCAUAAACAAUAUUUCCAGUUUGACCUACAUAUCACAGCUGUGACUAAAGGGAGCUGAUUUCCUCCAUUUAUUUAAAUUUUAUUAGAAGAAAAUGUAUUACUCGUGUUGCACGGACACUCGCAUUCAGCUCAACGAUGCUGUUGGAAAUGUAACGGAAUCAAAUACACCUUAUCAAAUUCAUUGAUUUCAGCUUUAAUGAUGGUUAGAGCGGGGGGGUUUUCCAACAAUGAGUUUGACCCACCAUAAUGAUGUUAGAAGUGAACUUUUGUUCUUUAAGAGAUUAAACAAGAAUGAAGAAAUGAAAAUAACCUUAAAAAAUGUUAUUUCUCAUACCCUUGGCUGCAGGAAAUUCUGGAUGAGAAAUAUAUGUAGUAACGAUCUUAACAAAUAAUAUCUUCUAAUGCUUUCUUUUAUAUAAUAUCUUAAAACAAAUAUAUAAUUUAUUUACUUUCCCACAUGUACCCAUAUCUUUCUUUUCUUUUUCCCCUGGCUAAGUCAAAUGCUUGGCUAUAUCUCAGAAUCCAAUCAUCAUGUCAGCAUCCUUAGAAUGCUGCUUUGUUCUUAUUUUUCCAAAAACCAGUUUGCUUAUUUCCCUAGUUCAUAUGAUAAAUUUACAUUAUUAUUCCAUGCAGAUUUCAACAUAACCCUUUACUUUCCAAUCCCAUGACUAUCAAGGGGUCAGGGCACACUCUUCAUUUUACAAAUUUUCUCCUCAUUAUUUGUUUCAGCAAAUAAAUGCACUCACUUUUUUUUAUUCCUUCUUUCUCUCUCCUAAAGCCUGUCCAAAGGAGAUUAUCAUGUGGGCUGCAUUUGAUCAACAAUGGAAGUGUUAUAGUAAAUCCUCAUAAUAAUGACCACUAAUAGAGAAAUAUAAUAGUUUUGGGUACAUAAUUUCAGUCAUGCACAAACUUAACAAAGUAUAUGCAUUUGCAUGUUUCGAAUGCUAGUAAUAUAAAAUUCAGCAUUCGAAGCCUGUACGAGAAGGUUUGAAUGAAGAUGUGAAGAGAUAAAGACCAUUUCAGGAGGUUUUGUAGAUCGGCAUGGUCUAAACAUCAAGACCUGAUUUUUCUUUUCUUUUAUUUUCUUUCUUUUUGUGUUUGUUUUUUUUUUUUUGUUUGUUUGUUGUUGGUUUGGGGGGGGGGGGGGGGGGGGGGGUUUGGUUCAAUACUGUUCCACGUUCACCUAGUUCACCUGUGAUAACAGAUCUUGAAGUUGGUUCAAAAGUUUCACAUAGAAACUAUUUUGGCCUGCUUACGUCCUUAUUACAUAGUACGUAACUCAUGCAAUAUUUUCCCUAUGAAAAAUUGGAAAAUAAGGAGAAGGCAAUUAAUUUAAGCAGAAAGAUUACAUAUUAAGGAAAUGCUGAGAUUUGCCAUGAAGUUUUCCUCAUACAAAAUGGUAUGGGCAUGAGCAAAGUUGUAAAGUUGGGCUUAUUGGGGUUAGAGGUGGGAUAUCAAGGUAGGAAACAAACUAAUAAAAAGGUCAUGAUUGACCUAAAAGGAUUUUUAUCAACCUUCCUUUCCCCUCAACCACUUCCUCCAGCAAAUGUAGCGACACAUGCUGAACAAGGUAUUCCCUUCAAGGGACUAGAAAACAAUUGAGACUUCAAAAUUACUCAUGUUUAUUAUUUAAGUUUUUUUUUUUGUUUCAUGGACAUCACAAUACUAAACCCUAAAAUUCAUGCUCGCUUACAUGUCCUCUUCUGCCCUUCGUAUUAUCAAAGGCUACAUCAUUAUUUAAAAAUAAAAACAUUUCUACAAAUCUUUCACGAUACCUCCUAUUCUGUUAUGCAUGGUUGUACCAUUUCAGUUAGUUUCCAUCAAAUCCUAAAGUUUCUCCUACGAGGUUACUGAUAAACUCUAUAAUUGGAAUUUGGAAGCAUUAGCUUUAUAAUUCAUAUAAAAUUAUGGGUCCUACACUCAUCUUGGAAAAUCUUCCCAUAGGUCAAGUUGGCAUGCGUCAAUGAUAUGUCUCAAAGUGAUUUUAUACUCUAACUGCCCCACGCUUAUCAUAUAAUGAAAUAAUAUUAUAUGUCACCCCAUUCCUCUUAUACCCAAUACUGCAAUUUAAACACUGCAAGGAUAAUGGUGCCAUCUACAAACACACACUUCAACCAUUCUGAAAGCAACAUUCAAAUAUUUGUAGGUAAAGAAAAAAUGAAAUUUCUGAAACAUGUAGAAAAUUACAUUUAACUGUUGGAUUCAGAUAACCAUUAUAAAAACUCUUCAAUGAAUUCAUAGUAGGGUGUCAAAAAAGAUGUAAACAUUUUAUUAUUACCAUCAUCAAGAUGAAGAGUAUAGGUUCCCAGUGGCAUGUCCCUGUCAAGGCUGCGAACCACCUCAUCUUCAUCCUCCAGCCAAAAUGCCCUUCUAGUCCUUAAUCCAAACGCUGAUUUGAUUGCAUCCUUUAUUGCCUCUGUGCUGCCAUCAAUACCAAUUUUUCUAGUGUAGUCUCCCCACUUGAUUGAAAUAACCCUUCCACCAUAUGAGGCAUGAUUAUCACCACCUACCAAAAUAGAACAACUAGUCAAAACCAAUGGAAGGCAAGCAUUACUUGUGCAAAACUGCCAGUGCAUCUACCUGUGGUAUUUUAUUAAGUUAUAUCAAGAUAAGCAGAAGAUACAGUAUCAACAAUAGAUAGUAAUAUCCAAUUUGCAAUAUCAUUUUUGACAUAAAGCUAAACCAUCUUCUGAAACUUGCAUCUGGUCUUAGAAGAUUCAUUUUCCCAGAACAGGGACAAAGAAACCAAGAAAAUUUUCAUGCUUCCAAGGCUCAGAAGAACAAUAAACAACACAAUACAAGAAUUUGUCUAGACUGCAACGAAAGGUGCACUACCAUUCGUAGGGGUGUCUCUCCAACUCCAAGGGGGAACACCAUUAGUUGCCACUUCAUCAGCUGCGGUUAUGGCAAGAGGAUUUCUCUCGUGAUCCAAAUGCCUAUCCACAUUGAGUGUGGACCUACCAUUCCCUGAUAUUCACAAAAAUAGUUUUUUUAACAUAUUCAGAAGGUUUAAUAUGGAUUUGGAUGGCUGAAUAUAUUUAUUUUCCAGAAAGAGCAAUAUACAAAUUUCACAAGUUUACCCAUGUAAAACUUAUGAAGCAAAAAUCACAUGAAAUUAUAGCCUUCAUAUUCAUGAGAUAAACAGGUCAAAGGCAAAUCAAAUGCAUAUGAAGCAAAAACACAUAUUUGACGAGUACAAAUGAGAAUGAUAAAUGACAAGAAAUAUAUUAUUAAAGAGCCAGCACUGAAAAAUAGAUUGACUUAAUCAAGGUUCCAAUAGCACAUAUUAUAUAAUACAUGUUUCAGGGUUUAUUGUUAACUAGUCUUAACACAAUUUUCUUGGAAUGAAACCCCAUUACAUCUAAUAUAUAGCUAGAUCUACAUAAAACAUUGGUAUCUACCUUCACACAACCAUACAUGACAAUGCCAUGUUACCGCACCAAAUUAUAUCUAAUCUCUCGGUGCCCAUUUUGCCUCAUGCCAUUUAUUCGGAUAAAAUACCAUCUCUUCUCAAAUAGAAGCACAGUCUAUGUACAUAACCCCGUCACAUCUAACAUAUAGCUAGAUCUACAUAAAACAUCGGUACCUACCUUCUCACCACUAUACAUGACAGUGCCAUGUUACAGUAUCAAAGAGAAUCUGCGUACAUACAUAUGUAAGUACCGUGUUAGGGGUGGCAAUGUUUAACCUAUUUAACUUAAUUCAACCUGUAGUAGUUGGGCUACUUGUUUAAUAAAAUAAUCAGGUUCAUGUCUGGAUUUAUAACCUGUUUAAUAAACAGGUUGGGUUUGGGUGGACAAAUUUUUGACCUAUCCUAUAUCUUACCCAACCCAUAUAUGGUCUGGCCUGACCCAUUUGCCACCCCUGAUAUAUGUAUGUAUGCAUGUGUGUGUGUGUGUGUGUGUGUGUGUGUGUGUGCAUAUUGGGAGUGAAGUCAUGCAAACAAAGCUGCAGGUGCAAACUCAGGAAAGAACUGAUUCCACUAUAUAAGUAAAUAAAUAAAUAAAAACAUUUAUUAAUUUAUAUAUUUAUUUAUAUAUAGUUAUUACUGCAACGGCUUUCGCCAUUAUGUGUUGGUGUAGCUGUUUUGAAACUGGGGAAGGCAAGUUUGAUCAAGGAUUAGAGGGGAGAGGUGGAACAAAAAGCUUGGGGUGGAUUGGUCCAACAAAACAAGCAAAAGAAAACAAGCACAACGGGCUAUUAAAUGCAGGAAGGACUGAAUGAAUGAAGAUACCACAAGGAAUAGAGAAAAAAAGGUUCUUUUUUAGUAUCCAUCCAUCAACAUGGUUUCUAAGAAAUGUUCCAGUAGUCGAAGCAGAUAUUCACAUAUAUAUAUGUGUGUGUGCGCGCGCGCGUGCGUGCGUGUACGUAUGUAUGUAUCUAUCUUAGGGAUGGCAAUGCUUAAUCCAUUGAACUUAAUUCAACCCAUUGCGUUGGACUACCUAUUUAAUAAAAUGGUUAGGUUUGGGUUUCGAUUUAGAACUUGUUUAAUAAGCAGGUUGGGUUAGGGUUGACAGAUUUUUGACCUAUCUUAUAUUUGACCUGACCCAUCAAUGUAAGGAUGUAUGUAUGCAUGUACAUGUAUAUAUGUAAGCAUGUAUGUACAUAUGUAUGCAUGUAGAUAUGUAUGCAUGUACAUAUGUAUGUGUGUGUGCACGCGCGCAUGUGUGUCUGUAUGUCUAUAGGACCUAACCAUAUUGCACGAAUUGGUCUGAAUUUAGUCUCAAGAGAGAACUCUUCAGGUUUCGAGUUUUUAGUAGGUAUCUGUGCUUGGUAAGGUCUAGUUAUGUGUGACGAUAACAUGCUUGAAGACUUAUUAUGACCUUUCCUAAGAUUUGAUUAGGGCGAGAUUAGUUAUAUUCUUGUCCCUGAUAUGUUGUAUCAGAAUUUCUAGGUCAAACAACUUGAUUAUCAAGAGGUGAGCAAAAGUAGGAUCACCUAAGAAAAGAUCCACGCUCACAAAAUUAUAAGAUAUUAAAUAUAGUUUAAGAUUGCUGACUAAAACAAGAAUGGUUUGGCAGAUAGUGACUGAUUAAGUCUCCAUGCGAAAACACCCUGCACACUUGAUAAAAGGUAGGAAAGCCCAUAUGUUUAAGUGGGUAACUAAGAGGAUAAUUAGAAAAAGCCAUAAGUUUUGUUGAUAUAUGAAAGGAAGAUUACCAUUUGGGUAGUGAUGAGUGCAACGUACAAUCUGAGUAUGGGUUAGAACAUAUUUAUGGGUGUAAAUGUAUCAACAUCAUAUAGGUCUUUAUUAAGUCCAAUUGUAUACAUAACUAGUAGUUUGAUGACCUAUUAAACAAACUAAAAAUGUUGAAAAAAAUAAUUACAAGUUAGAAAAUAAUUAAAUACGCUAUCUCCUUUAGUUACGCAACUAUGUACUAUGUUAUAUUCAAUAUUUGUCAUCAGAAAUUUAAUAAAUAAAUUAAUAGUAUUAACACACACACACACACACUCUCUCUCUCUCUCUCUCUUAAUUCUUGACUUCUAUCUCUUCUCACAUUUGCUCUAUAGCACUUCUAAAAUCUGAUUAUUGUGCUUGUGCGCAUGCAACCAUAUGCAAUAAUGGAAGGGCAAUAUGGUACAAGUAAGCUAGAAUCACAUGGGGUCAAUCAUACUACCCUCUUGCUCGAGCCUGGUCCAGAAAAUUGUUGCGGGAUUCUAGCCAAGCCUAAGUCCACAAAAUCUCUAUAAGCUCUGACCAAGCCUGAUUCAGCCUGAACCUGAGCCCAGCCUGAAGUCCAAACAGGACCUAACCUCAAUAGCCAACUGGCUCAAACACGCUGGGUUCCAAAUCAAACCCGCCUACUUUUUUUUUCCCUCCACCACCACCCUCUCUCUCUUAGUGGAUGAAGGUAGGUUAAAGCGCUUCGAUAGUCAGUAGAGGAGAGGAAUAGAAAGUUGGUAGUCCCCUGGUGGGAGAGAUUGACAAAGGUGGAGUAGAAGGGUAGGCAGAGUGGUAGAAGGGGAGGUGAAGGAGCAAAAAGAGAGAGAGAAAAAGUGAGGGGGAGAGAAGAGGAAGUGGAAGAGAGGAAAGAUAGCUGGUCGCCCCAUUAGUGGGAGAGUUUGAAGAAGUAGAAGGGGAGUAGUAGGAAGCGUGGAGCAGGGGACCUAAAGUAGAAAAAAGGGAGAGCACGAGUAGAUACAAGGAAAUUAGGGUUCUAUUUUAAGGAUAUUCGAUCCCAUCCAUCCAUUCCGAAUGGAUGAUCAAGAUUAAAACAUAUCAAAUAAAGUAGAAUAUAAUUUUAUAAAUUAAUUAAAUAUUAUUUGGGUUUCAUACUAGGCUUGGAUCAGGCUGAGGACCUACCAAAACCAGCCUCAAAUUGUUUUGAGCUUAAUUCUUGGGCUCGAGCUCUGGCCAAAUCUACAAAUGUCCAGGCCUACAAGACGAACCCAUGUCGGUCUAACCUAAUAGGCUUUCACACUAGCUUGGACAACAUUUCCAUCCAUAUAUCUGGUCCCAUUGUCAAUUGUAUUGCCUUGUACUACCCAAUACAGGGCAUAUCAUUCUAUACCAAGUGGGAACUGUUAUGAAACUCAAAUUUGGAUCAGGAUAUAUCUCGUAGUACCAUGUAUCGCCCCAUACAUAUACCUUGUAUCGAGACAUACUGAAGCAUGUACCGACCCAUCCCGAGGCUGGUAUAUCGAGUUGUACCAAGAUAAAAAGUGAGAAAAAUGACUAGAAGGAUAUUUUGGUAUUGGGAUGCAUACCAUACUGUAUCGACCAUACUGUAUCAAACUAGUAAAGUACCAAUACAAUACUUGUUUGAUUGCGGACCUUGUCUAGUCCACUAAAUUAUCCCAAUUAUAUCUAAUUAAAAUAAACUCAGCUAUAGGUCACAUGAAAAAAAAUAGUUGAUGUAUGCACCAAACCCAUGUCAAGUCGCACGCUAUGAAUCUAUCUUCUCCUAACUUUAGUGCAUAGGUUGCACUUAUCAAAUGCUCCCUUCUUCCUAAGUCAGCCUUGCCCAUGGAUAUCAUAUUUUGCCUAAAGCACGAAACUCAUAUUAGAUACCCCAAUCUUCCCUUUAGGAAACUUGACACCAUACAUACCAAUGCACAUCAAAGCAAAACGAAUGUGUCUAACCUCUCUCCUAAGUUCCUUUUCCUAGCUUCAAUACUUGCUUGCUAACAAGUAUAAGAGCUCUUUCUUUGUAUAGAAUUGUUUCAUAAUUCAAGAUGAUUGAGAUUUAGCCGAGUGGCAAAUAUCCAGCAAAUGCAAAAAAAAACCUAGAAGUUCUGCAAUAAAUUUCAAAAGUAUUUCUCUAAUAUACAAAUAUGCAAUAAAUCUACUAAGCACCCUAAGACCCCCUUUGUGAUCAUUACAUCCUCCCAUAUCCCAAUAAUUUCUAUAGCACAGUAAACAUUCUUAAUUUUUCUAGCGGAUUGCAUUGAUUCUUGCUCUUCUUCCAACAAAGAAAAUCUCCUAGGUGCCAAUCUCCUCCCAUCCAAUCACGUGAACACAUUUAUUGUGUGGAAGCCUUCUUGCAUGAUGGAGUAUUGGAGUCUCUUGUGUUAACCCUGUGUUUUCAAAUUUAGGUCUCUGCAUGCUGACAAUUUUACUGCAUGCACUUAGACCAAGGUUCAAUGUCUCCAGCUCUUCAACCAUCCAAAGCAUAACCAAAUAGCAAUUAUUGUUGUUCAUCAUUCUUACCUGCCUUCAACGAAACCAACCAUAAAAUAGUCAAUCUCUAGAUCAAUAAUAAAGCCUUAGCUUUCCCCUUAACUAAUCUUCUGACAUUAGGAACCAUACAUGGCAUGACAUUCCGAAGUAAAGAAGCAUGAUGACCUUGGCCUCCCAGGAGAAAUCAAUCAAAAGGAUAGCCUUAGACUCAUCUAUGAAACCAUAAGCCCAAGUUCCUCUUAUAUGAUUUGACAUGCAUGUGGAUUCCUUUUUGAUGCCCUCAACCUACUAGAUCCCUAAGCUAACUACAUUUAUCUGGUUCUAAUCCAAAGAAAGCUCAAGACCAAACAUUUUGACCUUCAUCAACACAAAUUGUUUAUCACAUAUGCAUCCAUCCAUGCCUCAAAACAUGUCCUUACAGAGUGCAUCUUAAGUUCUUGUGAGAACUUUCAUCACCUUAAUCCCAUCAAAACUAUUAGAGCUUCUGGCACCAUGCUAUACUCAUUAUACUCCUUUUCCUUUUUAUUUUCUUGAGCGCACUUGUAGCUUUAUGCUACAUGUAUUGAUUUAAAAGAUAUGAUCCUCUGUGAGACCUUGAUCUUAAAAAUCCUUGUGUUAGUCAUAUCCAUUACCCUUUUUGUAAUGACACCUAGUACACAUAUUGCCCUCAACCUUGCAUGCAUUUCCAUAUCUUAGUUGCCAGAAUUAGGAGCAAGUGCAGCAGCGGAUGCAGGUGUGGGUGCUGGCAAGCAAAUACUUUAGAAAACAUUUGGAGUAAGGAAGCACUUAGGAAGCGGGGGCUGCUUCAAGAUUUUGGGAAGAUUCUGAAGCAGGUGUGUUAGUCUAGGUGGAAGAUUCCAAUAGUUAAGUUCCAUCUCAUGUCUAAUAAUGAGUUCAACUAUGAGUCCUACUACAACUUAAGUUGUUGCAUCUCUUGAACUAGUUUCAAAUCCUUCACAAAUGAAGCACUUGCUCCACUUAAGGUCAGAGCCCAACCAUCAAGAAGAUGAGCUAGUCCACCAUUGACAUCGUCUUGAUGAUAAGCAUAAGAGGAUGAACCCAUCAACAUAUAUUCAACAAGAACUUGUCCAACUUCAUGAAUCCUAAAUAGUUUUCCUUAUUCUUAGGAAGGCAUUGCAUCUCCAACACUUUCAUGAGCUCUAACCAUGUAUUUGAGCAAAGAACCUCAUUUAUGUUGUCAAUUUCUUCACUGCUUCAGAAGGUAUGAUGUAAUUCAUGACAUAAAUGUUUGUGGUCUACUUAGAUCCUUUUCAAGGUGGGUAGGACUGUUAUUAUUGACUUUCCAAUAUAUUAAAAUAAACUUUGGUUUUACUGAAUUUUAAGUUCACCAUAAUAUCUCAACUUCAAAUUUUGAUCCUUUUUCCUCCUCAGUGCCAAAAACCCUAGCAUCCUAACACAUGAAUAUAGCCAUUCCUAUAGCCUGACCUUAGUCUUAAGUCAUUAUAGCUUGCAAUAGAGUAUCAAACUUAGAUUUAGUUCAAACCAGUGUGAAAGUUAAGGAGUAUGAAGCAAACUCAUCACAAGCAAAUAUCUAGUUCAAACCAUUGUGAAUAGACCAUUUCAAGGCAAUGGCAGUUUUCCACUCGGCCCUCCAACUCAUCAAGUUGCAACUUGUCUGCAAUAACAACUCUAAUUGCCCUAAGCAAUAGUGUUGUCAAUAGCUUACUUUGAGAUAUUAUUUCGCCAUAGGUCCCUAGACUUGGCCAUCCUCACCACAUUGUAAGGUUCUCAAAAGAACAAGCUAUUUGCAAGCAGCUCAUGUUUGGCUCAAAAUUGAGCUAGAUAUUGAUUCAUUCAAGUAGUAAACGAGUUGAGUAUGAAUCGAAAUCUUUUAACUUAAAAAUAAACAACUUGAACACAAACUAGGCUUGCUUCAAUUGUGGUCAGCUCAACAUAGCUCAAAACACACAUAUAUAAAUAUUACUUCUUGAUUUUUUUUAUUAAUUAGGAUUAAUUGAUGUAAUAAGUACUACAAAUAUUUAUUUAGAAUCAAGAUAUGCCUAAGCCAUCAGAUCUUAAGUCUAACAAUUGCAUUAUUUUAUGUGAAGGUGCACAAUUGUAGCCAUUAGAUCAUAGAUUUGAUGACUUAGUAUCAUUGGAUAAAUGGGUGAAAUAAAAGAGGCAAAGCCCAAACUCUCUCCAGCCUCUCACUCUUUCAAACACCAUCCCAUCCCUCUAUUUUCCUCCCUCCAACUAUCUUUCUCCCUUUACCUCUCUCUCUCUUUGAGUUAAGUGUCUUGACUCUUAAAGGCUCAAUGGUAUUAUCCUUGGAACUCCCAUUUUGCUGGAUGCCAUCCCUCAAGUUCUCAUGGCUUCCAUGGCUCUCUUGAAGCAACUACAACAUCAACUACCUCUCUCUCCCUCC
rnacentral:lncRNA from 1 species